rnacentral:lncRNA from 1 species
ACAAUUAUAUUAUUAAUGGUUCCUAAUAUUUAUGACAUUUGAGGUUCCAAGCCUAAGGCUACGUUAAAUCUAUGUUAAAACAUAAUUUUUAGGUUUAUCGAACCUUACAUAUAAGUCUUUUUUUUUGCCGUCUAGAUUUAUUAUUAAUUGCAAAUUAUGAGAACUGUUACAUAGACGAUUUUACAACUGACAAUUUCUGCCGACCCUUAGUAGAUCCACGACAGACUACACUUCCUUCUUCAUGAUUUUGAUGAAUACCUUCAAUGAUCCACGAUCUAGCGACACUUCCUUCUCUGCGUAGAAUCCUGGCGCACGGCUAUAAUUGUACAUCGCUGGAGAUCUCCUGCACACUUGCCUCCAUUAAUCUGCAAAUUUGUUAAUAAAUCGCAAUAUCUGGGACUCGAACCCCAAACCUCUUAGUGUAGAAGCAUUAAUCAACCUUUGGUCAACCAAUGGGCCAAAGGGGCUUCCACACCUUACAUAUA